CCUACGGGAGGCAGCAGUGGGGAAUUUUGGACAAUGGGCGCAAGCCUGAUCCAGCCAUGCCGCGUGUGGGAAGAAGGCCUUCGGGUUGUAAACCACUUUUGUCAGGGAAGAAACGGCUUUUUCUAAUACAGAGAGCUAAUGACGGUACCUGAAGAAUAAGCACCGGCUAACUACGUGCCAGCAGCCGCGGUAAUACGUAGGGUGCAAGCGUUAAUCGGAAUUACUGGGCGUAAAGCGUGCGCAGGCGGCUUUGCAAGACAGAUGUGAAAUCCCCGGGCUCAACCUGGGAACUGCAUUUGUGACUGCAUGGCUAGAGUACGGUAGAGGGGGAUGGAAUUCCGCGUGUAGCAGUGAAAUGCGUAGAUAUGCGGAGGAACACCGAUGGCGAAGGCAAUCCCCUGGACCUGUACUGACGCUCAUGCACGAAAGCGUGGGGAGCAAACAGGAUUAGAUACCCUGGUAGUCCACGCCCUAAACGAUGUCAACUGGUUGUUGGACGGCUUGCUGUUCAGUAACGAAGCUAACGCGUGAAGUUGACCGCCUGGGGAGUCGGCCGCAAGGUUGAAACGUCAAAGGAAUUGACGG
rnacentral:rRNA from 1 species